rnacentral:lncRNA from 1 species
CUGCAUGCAGAAUGUUCAUUCUGCAUGCAGGGGAAAAAAAAUGAAAAAAACUAACGGGAGGGGGGAGAAGAGGUGACCUGGCGUGGAGGAGGCGGUGCUGCGGUGGCUCCGCGGUGGCGUGGCUUCCCGGGCGGCGCUGCGGCUCCUUCUCUCUUCGGUGUUCGGUUCUCUCUCUCUCUUCGGCCUCCUCUCUCUCUCUCCUCCCUUCGG